CCUACGGGUGGCAGCAGUGAGGGAUAUUGCGCAAUGGGCGAAAGCCUGACGCAGCGACGCCGCGUGGGCGAGGAAGGCCUUCGGGUUGUAAAGCCCUUUUGGCAGGGAAGAGCAAGGACUGUACCUGCAGAACAAGUCACGGCUAACUACGUGCCAGCAGCCGCGGUAAUACGUAGGGGGCGAGCGUUGUCCGGAAUCACUGGGCGUAAAGCGUCCGUAGGCGGCCUGGUAAGUUGGGUGUGAAAGGUUGAAGCUAAACUUCAAGAUUGCACCCAAUACUGCCAGGCUUGAGUGUCGGAGAGGAGAAUGAAACUACCAGUGUAGCGGUAAAAUGCGUUGAUAUUGGUAGGAACACCAGUGGCGAAGGCGGUUCUCUGGACGACAACUGACGCUGAGGCACGAAAGCUAGGGGAGCAAACGGGAUUAGAUACCCCUGUAGU
rnacentral:rRNA from 1 species